rnacentral:rRNA from 1 species
CUGGGCUCGAAAUGCUAUGGACCGUCUGUGAAAGCAGAUCUUCCCGCAAGGGACCGUAGUAUAGGUGCUGCAUGGCUGUCGUCAGCUCGUGUCGUGAGAUGUUGGGUUAAGUCCCGCAACGAGCGCAACCCUUGUCCUUAGUUGCCAGCAUUAAGUUGGGAACUCUAAGGAGACCGCCGGUGACAAACCGGAGGAAGGUGGGGAUGACGUCAAGUCAUCAUGGCCUUUAUGGCCAGGGCUACACACGUGCUACAAUGGUAGAAACAGAGGGAAGCCAACGCGCGAGCGGGAGCCAAUCCCAGAAAAUCUAUCGUAGUCCGGAUCGGAGUCUGCAACUCGACUCCGUGAAGUCGGAAUCGCUAGUAAUCGCAGAUCAGCAUUGCUGCGGUGAAUACGUUCCC